rnacentral:rRNA from 1 species
CAGAACGACGCUGGCGGCAGGCCUCAAACAUGCAAGUCUAGGGGGUGUAGCAAUACAUCACCGGCGGACGGGUGCGUAACGCGUGGGAAUAUACCUAUCGAUUCGGAACAACUGAGGGAAACUUCAGCUAAUACCGAAUACGUCCUAACGGAGAAAGAUUUAUCGUCGAUAGAUUAGCCCGCGUUCGAUUAGCUAGUUGGUGGGGUAACGGCCCACCAAGGCGACGAUCGAUAGCUGUUCUGAGAGGAAGAUCAGCCACACUGGGACUGAGACACGGCCCAGACUCCUACGGGAGGCAGCAGUGGGGAAUAUUGGACAAUGGGGGCAACCCUGAUCCAGCAAUGCCGCGUGAGUGAUGAAGGCCUUCGGGUUGUAAAGCUCUUUUGGCGGGGACGAUGAUGACGGUACCCGCAGAAUAAGCCCCGGCUAACUUCGUG